AGUGAACGCUGGCGGCAUGGUUAAGACAUGCAAGUCGAACGAGAAGCAUUUCUUCGGAUUUGUGGAAAGUGGCGAACGGGUGCGUAACACGUGAGCAAUCUGCCCUAAAGUACGGAAUAGCCUGUCGAAAGAUGGAUUAAUGCCGUAUGUGACUUUUUACCGCAUGGUAAAAAUGUUAAAGCUUGUAAUGGCGCUUUAGGAUGAGCUCGCGGCCUAUCAGCUUGUUGGUGAGGUAAAAGCUCACCAAGGCUAAGACGGGUAGCUGGUCUGAGAGGAUGAUCAGCCACACCGGGACUGAGACACGGCCCGGACACCUACGGGUGGCAGCAGUUUCGAAUCAUUCACAAUGGGCGAAAGCCUGAUGGUGCAAUGCCGCGUGGAGGAUGAAGGCCUUAGGGUCGUAAACUCCUGUCAUUAGGGAGCAACAAGCAGGUUUAUAGCCUGCCCUGAGUUAACCUAAAGAGGAAGAGGUGGCUAACUCCG
rnacentral:rRNA from 1 species